rnacentral:rRNA from 1 species
UUGAACGCUGGCGGCAUGCUUUACACAUGCAAGUCGAACGGUAACAGGUCUUCGGAUGCUGACGAGUGGCGAACGGGUGAGUAAUACAUCGGAACGUGCCUAGUAGUGGGGGAUAACUACUCGAAAGAGUAGCUAAUAACGCAUGAGAUCGUCGGAAGAAAGCAGGGGACCUUCGGUCCUUGUGCUACUAGAUCGGCCGAUGGCAGCUUAGGUAGUUGGUGGGAUAAAGGCUCACCAAGGCGACGAUCGAUAUCUGGUCUGAGAGGAUGAUCAGCCACACUGGGACUGAGACACGGCACAGACUCCUACGGGAGGCAGCAGUGGGGAAUUUUGGACAAUGGGCGAACGCCUGAUCCAGCCAUUCCGCGUGAGUGAAGAAGGCCUUCGGGUUGUAAAGCUCUUUCGGGUAGAAAGAAAUCGCAUGGGCCAAUACCCUGUGCGGAUGACGGUACUACCAUAAGAAGCACCGGCUAACUACGUGCCAGCAGCCGCAGUAA